rnacentral:rRNA from 1 species
UACGGGAGGCAGCAGUGGGGAAUAUUGCACAAUGGGCGCAAGCCUGAUGCAGCCAUGCCGCGUGUAUGAAGAAGGCCUUCGGGUUGUAAAGUACUUUCAGCGGGGAGGAAGGCGAUGUGGUUAAUAACCGCGUCGAUUGACGUUACCCGCAGAAGAAGCACCGGCUAACUCCGUGCCAGCAGCCGCGGUAAUACGGAGGGUGCAAGCGUUAAUCGGAAUUACUGGGCGUAAAGCGCACGCAGGCGGUCUGUUAAGUCAGAUGUGAAAUCCCCGGGCUUAACCUGGGAACUGCAUUUUGAAACUGGCAGGCUUGAGUCUCGUAGAGGGGGUAGAAUUCCAGGUGUAGCGGUGAAAUGCGUAGAGAUCUGGAGGAAUACCGGUGGCGAAGGCGGCCCCUGGGACGAAGACUGACGCUCAGGUGCGAAAGCGUGGGGAGCAAACAGGGAUUAGAUACC